UGAUAACCAGCGCCGGCUGGUUAUCAGCAAAAGUGUAGACCGACAAUUCUUAGGCCGUAGAUAGAAUUGUUGGUAGACACUUUUUUUA
rnacentral:ncRNA from 1 species